AACGAACGCUGGCGGCGUGCCUAAUACAUGCAAGUCGAACGAGAAAGUCUCUUCGGAGAUGAGUAAAGCGGCGCACGGGUGAGUAACACGUGGGCAAUCUGCCCUCGAGUCUGGGAUAACCCGGGGAACCCGGGCUAAUACCGGAUACGGCUACGGGGUCUUCGGAUCCUGUGGAGAAAGAUGGCCUCUUCUUGAAAGCUAUCUCUCGAGGAUGAGCCCGCGUCCUAUUAGCUAGNGGUGGGGUAACGGCUCACCAAGGCAAAGAUGGGUAGCUGGUCUGAGAGGAUGACCAGCCACACUGGAACUGAGACACGGUCCAGACUCCUACGGGAGGCAGCA
rnacentral:rRNA from 1 species